rnacentral:rRNA from 1 species
GCGUGAGUGAUGAAGGCCUUAGGGUUGUAAAGCUCUUUCACCGGGGACGAUGAUGACGGUACCCGGAGAAGAAGCCCCGGCUAACUUCGUGCCAGCAGCCGCGGUAAUACGAAGGGGGCAAGCGUUGUUCGGAAUUACUGGGCGUAAAGGGCGCGUAGGCGGCCGCUCAAGUCAGGUGUGAAAUCCCCGGGCUCAACCUGGGAACUGCACUUGAAACUGUGUGGCUUGAAUCCGUGAGAGGUUGGUGGAAUUCCCAGUGUAGAGGUGAAAUUCGU